rnacentral:tRNA from 1 species
AGAGAAAAUUUUGAAAUUACUGCUAAUAAUUUUAUGUCAAUUUAUUUUGACUUUCUCUU